rnacentral:rRNA from 1 species
GAUGAACGCUGGCGGCGUGCCUAGUACAUGCAAGUCGAGCGAACAGACGAGGAGCUUGCUCCUCUGACGUUAGCGGCGGACGGGUGAGUAACACGUGGAUAACCUACCUAUAAGACUGGGAUAACUUCGGGAAACCGGAGCUAAUACCGGAUAAUAUAUUGAACCGCAUGGUUCAAUAGUGAAAGACGGUUUUGCUGUCACUUAUAGAUGGAUCCGCGCCGCAUUAGCUAGUUGGUAAGGUAACGGCUUACCAAGGCAACGAUGCGUAGCCGACCUGAGGGGGUGAUCGGCCACACUGGAACUGAGACACGGUCCAGACUCCUACGGGAGGCAGCAGUAGGGAAUCUUCCGCAAUGGGCGAAAGCUUGACGGAGCAACGCCGCGUGAGUGAUGAAGGUCUUCGGAUCGUAAAACCCUGUUAUUAGGGAAGAACAAAUGUGUAAGUAACUAUGCACGUCUUGACGGUACCUAAUCAGAAAGCCACGGCUAACUACGUG